rnacentral:sRNA from 1 species
ACCCGUAUAAAAGGAGAAAUACUUCCCUGGGUGUAAAUCCCUAAAACUGCGCCGCUUGGGAGAGCGGCAUAGGGUAUAACCCACGAAAAUGGCCGAUACCCUAUCUUUUGAAGCCUUUACACGGACGCUUUUUGCAUGGCGGGUGAUGUGCCUUACCCCGUUUCAUGUGUCGAGGCAAAGCAGAUUAGACGGCACCCUACAAUUUAUCUGCACGAAAGGCGAAUACCAAUUAUGACA